rnacentral:rRNA from 1 species
AUACGGAGGGUGCGAGCGUUAAUCGGAAUUACUGGGCGUAAAGCGCGCGUAGGCGGUUUGGUCAGUCGGAUGUGAAAGCCCUGGGCUCAACCCGGGAAUGGCAUUCGAUACUGCCUGACUAGAGUAUGGUAGAGGGAAGUGGAAUUUCCGGUGUAGCGGUGAAAUGCGUAGAUAUCGGAAGGAACACCAGUGGCGAAGGCGACUUUCUGGGCCAAUACUGACGCUAAGGUGCGAAAGCGUGGGGAGCAAACAGGAUUAGAAACCCCAGUAGUCC